rnacentral:rRNA from 1 species
ACGGCAGCACGGGAGCAAUCCUGGUGGCGAGUGGCGAACGGGUGAGUAAUAUAUCGGAACGUGCCCAGUCGUGGGGGAUAACGUAGCGAAAGUUACGCUAAUACCGCAUACGAUCUACGGAUGAAAGCGGGGGAUCGCAAGACCUUGCCGCAUUGGAGCGGCCGAUAUCAGAUUAGCUUGUUGGUGGGGUAAAAGCCCACCAAGGCGACGAUCUGUAGCUGGUCUGAGAGGACGACCAGCCACACUGGGACUGAGACACGGCCCAGACUCCUACGGGAGGCAGCAGUGGGGAAUUUUGGACAAUGGGCGCAAGCCUGAUCCAGCAAUGCCGCGUGCAGGAUGAAGGCCUUCGGGUUGUAAACUGCUUUUGUACGGAACGAAACGGUCCUUUCUAAUACAAGGGGCUAAUGACGGUACCGUAAGAAUAAGCAUCGGUUAACUACGUGCCAGCAGCCGCGGUAAUACGUAGGGUGCGAGCGUUAAUCGGAAUUACUGGGCGUAAAGCGUGCGCAGGCGGUUUUGUAAGACAGAUGUGAAAUCCCCGGGCUUAACCUGGGACCUGCAUUUGUGACUGCAAGGCUGGAGUACGGUAGAGGGGGAUGGAAUUCCGCGUGUAGCAGUGAAAUGCGUAGAUAUGCGGAGGAACACCG